GACAGAGGCCUCGAGCGUUAGGCGGAAUCACUGGGCUUAAAGCGUGUGUAGGCGGGCCCGUCAGUACCUUGUGAAAUCCCACGGCUCAACCGUGGAACCGCUGGGUAUACUGCGGGUCUUGGGCCGACUAGGGGCAGCCGGAACAAGCGGUGGAGCGGUGAAAUGCGUAGAUAUCGCUUGGAACGCCGAAGGUGAAAACAGGCUGCUGGGGUCGCGCCGACGCUGAGACACGAAAGCCAGGGAAGCAAACGGG
rnacentral:rRNA from 1 species